CUCUGCAGCUUCCAACACUAAGGGAAAGAACUAUGAGCUGGUUUUACAACAGCGGAACAUUGUCUGGCUGAAGCACUAUGACAGAAAGACUCUGGUUUGGUUGUUGGUCAAGUACAACAGAAGGAGAAGAGGGAGUUACAUCUACAUGGCUGAAUAAAGAAAAAGUACUGAUGAAUACUGGAGUAAGAAUUUCCCUUUUAGCAUUCCCAACCCGUUAAAAGGAAGCAAUUAUGGUAGAGGAACAGAGUGCAUGGAUGACCUGAACCUUGUUCACAACAGAUGAGAAAAAAUGACAUUUUUCUCCUUUCUGAAAGACUUUUAUAGCUUGUGAAAAAGAAACUUCAUGGAAGCAGAAACUAUGAGCUCAUUAAGAAAUGAUAAUCAUUCUGUUCCUCUCACAAAACAUGGAGAAUUGUACAAGAUGGAAGAAUAUUAAGAUUUAUCACAGAGCACUAUACUCUAAUGAGGAAAGCUCACGCUUCAAUUUCCUGAAUUUGACCUCUGAAAAGGCACUGAGCCUCUAGGAAUCAAGGUGUUUUUGGUUUUUUUUCCUUCUGUGUAUAGAGUUCUUCAUUUGUUCAAUGGGGCUAAUAUAACCUCUGUACCUUCUGAGAAUAGAAUCGUUAAAGACUGACUCAGUGUUAUGGUAAUGGAAACCAUUUUGUAAGGAAGACCAAAGGAAUGUCCUCUGAAGACCAGUUACAUCCAGAAUAAGAUGGCCUUCUUUCAAAUAUAGCAAAAGCUUUCCAAAACAGAGCAUAUAAAUAAAAUGAACUAGUUUCUAUUUUCUCUCAUUUUAUUC